rnacentral:rRNA from 1 species
AGAGUUUGAUCAUGGCUCAGGAUGAACGCUAGCGGCAGGCCUAAUACAUGCAAGUCUAAAGGGCAGCAAUGUCCUUGGCGCACGGGUGCGUAACACGUAUGCAACCUGCCCACAACUGGGGGAUAACUUUCCGAAAGGGAGGAUAAUACCGCAUAAAACAGGGGUCCCGCAUGGGAAUAUUGUUAAAGCUUCGGCGGUUGUGGAUGGGCAUGCGGACGAUUAGCUAGUUGGCGGGUAACGGCCCACCAAGGCAACGAUCGUUAGGGGAACUGAGAGGUUGGUCCCCCACACUGGCACUGAGAUACGGGCCAGACUCCUACGGGAGGCAGCAGUAGGGAAUAUUGGUCAAUGGGCGGAAGCCUGAACCAGCCAUGCCGCGUGCAGGAAGAAGGCCCUCUGGGUUGUAAACUGCUUUUGACAGGGAACAAGAAGUCCAUGCGUGGAUUAGUGAGUGUACCUGUAGAAUAAGCCACGGCUAACUACGUG